rnacentral:tRNA from 1 species
AAGGUAAUUUAAUUAGAAUGGCAGUUUUGGGUAUUGUUAGUGCAGGCGUCUCUGUCCUU